ACUUCUGCUUCAGGACAGCUUCUUCUGCCAAAAUGGGACCAGAGCUGAAAGGAAGAGAGAAUGGGUUACUCAGGGAACCCCUGGGGUUUGGAGGAGGACAUUCAUGUCUCCAUUAGUGCCACACAGAGCAUUUUGAGGGUACAGCAGAUUACAGACCUAAGUCAAUAUGUAGUAACACCUAACCUGGCAAUGAGAUAUUCCAUAGAAGGGAAAUUUCUGGAUAAACACUGCUUAUUUCAUUUUGAAAUAAAAUAUAAAGACAGCACAAUUUCCCCUUCUUAGCAAAUAUGUUAAACACACACUUAACCAUUUCUUAAUGAGUCAGGGUUAGUAUGAGUAUCAAGAACAGUGCUGUGCUGAGCUCAAGGGCAACACACUCAGGCUGUUCUCUGCUGCUGCUGCUCCUUUUUUUUUUUCUGUGAGACGGGGUCUUGCUCUGUCGCCCAGGCUGGAGUGCAGUGGCAUAAUCAUGGCUCAAUGCAGCUUCAACAUCCCAGGCUCAAAUGAUCCUUCCACCUCAGCCUCCCAAAAGUAGAAGUAGCUGGGACUAUAGGCCUGUGCCAACAUGCCUGGCUAAUUUUUGUAUUUUUCUGUAGAGAUGGGGUUUCACUAUGUUGCCCAGGCUGGUCUCAAACUUCUGGGCUCAAGCCAUCUGCCCUCCUCAGCCUCCCAAAGUGCUGCGAUUACAGGCAUGAGCCUCUGCACCCAGCCCUGUGUUUCUUUACAUAUUCCUACAUGGCCGUGUCUGUGUUCCUACCAGUUAAUCUAUUUUGUUAGAGCCGUGUGAAAAAGAAGCCCUCAUGGGCUCUGCAUGAGGGCUCGUGAAUUUCUGCUGUCAGUGAACUGCGUGAGUUUAGAUGCAAGGAAGUAACGACAUCUGAUUUGGUUUCAUGAAAACUGAAAACACGCUGGGUAAGGUGGCGCACGCCUGCAAUCCCAGCACUUAGUGAGGUGGGAGAAUCCACUGAGACCAGGAGUUCGGGACCAGUCUGGGCAACAAAGUGAGAUGACGUAUUUACAACAACAACAACAAAAAUAGCCAGGUGAGGGUGGUAUAUGCCUGUAGCCCAGCUACUCAGGAAGCUGAGGCAGGAGGGUUGUUUUAGCCCAGGAAUUGGAGGUUGCAGUCAGCUAUGAUCAUGACACUGCACUCCAGCCCAGGUAAUGGAGAGAGACACUGUCUCUAAAAAAAGUUUAAAGAUGUAAAACGAUAUCAAAGUACAUAAUACAAAGGACAUAACUUAAAAUGUUGAAAGUGGUAACAAGAUUUAUAAAUGAAACAGAGUCACCUGUACCACUCUCUAUUCCUACUUUGAGGGACAAACACUUUCAACUGAUUCUUUUCCUGGUAUUUUCCUUCACUUUUCUGUGUCCCUGGUUCUCAAAGUGGGGUCUCUAGAAUUUGGGAGAAAUGCAAAUUCUUAGACCCCACCCCAGAUAUACCGAAUCAGACUAUGAGGGUGGAGCCCAGCAGCCAAUGUUUAAACAAACCUGUCUCCAGAGAUUCUGCCUCACGACCCCCCAAAGUUCUGACUGUUCUGGGUGAGGUGUUUAUACAAUGACUUCCUCCUAUGGACUGUGAAGGCUUACCUUUCUUCCACCCUCUCCCCAGCCCCACAAUCCUGCCUUCUUAUCUUUUCAGCACAGCUAUAUGACCAAUUUUGAUGAUGUUAAAAUUCAGUGUUUGUUGUAAUUAUGUAAAUAUUUUCACAACUAUCAGUAUAUUUCAUGUUUUAUGUAACUUUUAUUUUCCCUGGACUGAAUAACUGCCUCAUUUUUUUGUUGUCGUGAUGGCUUAGUGGGUUUGUUGUUGUUGUUUUUUAGAAACGAAGUCUCAGUAUGUUGCCCAAGCUGGUCUUGAACUCCCGGUCUUAAGCGAUCUCCUUGCCUCAGCCUCCCGAGUACUUCUCAGUUUUCUAUACAAAUCUCUCAUCUAUCCCUAACCUCUCAGGUAAACCAUGGAUCUCUUCUCAGUACAUUCAGACAUGUAAUAUAAUUUUUUAAAAACUGGAGGGUGGGGAGCCUGUUUGUGUUUUUCUUGGCAAAAUCCUUUCUGCAACUCUAUAUCCUCCUUUUUGAAUCUGGACAGGAUCCUUUCUAGACCCACUGGGCAGCUACCAUCUUGGAACCUCCCUUCACCUUUCUCUGGGUAAAUCCCUGCACCUCUCUACUGCCUCCUGGGUCCCAUGACUUCUUUUUUGGAUAAAAAAGAGGAACAUAUCUUCCACUUUAGAUGGAACACAUCUUCCAGUAGCUUCCUGAGGAAGGCUACAUGGAAAGUAUAUAUUUUAGGGAAACUGUAUGUCUAAAAAUGUAUUCUAAUCUCACACUUCACUGAUAGUUUGGGAAUUCACUGAUAGUUUGGGAAAACUCUGGGUGAGAAAUUGCCCUCCAGAAUUCAGAAAGCACACUGCUCCAAUAUCUCCAGCUGUCAGUAAAGUCUGCUGCCAUUCUGAUUACCAAUCCUUUGUACGUACUCCGUUUUUCCCCUUUGCUGGAGACUUACAUCCUCUCUUAACUUUGACCUCCUAAAGAUUCAUGAUGCUCCUUGGUGUAGUCUAUUUUCAUUCUCUGUGCUGGGUACUCAACAGACCUCUUUAAUCUAGAAACUCAAGUCCUCUGUUCUGAGAACGCUUGAUUCCUUUCUUUGACAAUUUCCUCCUUCCAUUGACUGUAAUCUUUCUAGAUCUCCUAUGAUUCAUAUAUAGGACGUCCUAGGCCAAUCCUCCAAUUUUCUUUUCUCUCCCAGUUUUCAUCUUUCUAUUCUACACAUUUUGGGAGAUUGUCUCAAUUUUAUCUUUUACACACUCUUUGGAUUUCAUUUUUAAUAUAGUUAAUAAUUUCUAAAAAUGCUUGUUUUCCUUUUUUUUUUUUUAAGUUUCCUGUUAUUGUUGCAUGGAUACAGUAUCUUCGCUCUAAAUUCAGAUACUAUGAUUUUGUGACCUUUUCUUUUGUUAUUUACAUUGCCUUUUUUUCCUACUUCUAUUUGUCAAAAUUCACAUUGCCUUUAUUUCCUUGUUUUUCAGUUUACCUGUUCUGGUCUUUCCUCACAUAUCUGACAAUCGUUAGCUCUCUUUGUAUUUCAAAGAAAAGCUCUGGAAUGUGUCUGGGACCUGUGUAUAUAUGGGCAAAACUCAUCAACGAAUGGGCUCCCUGGUGAUUAUUUGGCAGAUUCCUGGCAAUUUCAUCAGAGGAUCCAAAAAUGUAUGUGCAGGCCUUUUUCUCUUUGGUUGGUUGGCUUCUCCAGAGAAUAAGCCUCUUUUUCAACUCAGACAUUUAUACUUAGCUAACAGCAUUCAGGAAACUGAGAAAAGAAGGAACGUUGGAAAUUUCACCCUUCAGUGUGUGGACUUUGAGUUAGUCUUCCCGUGUUCAGUCUAGAGCCUUACUCCAAAUGGAAAUUCCAAGAUCCAGAGCCUCUCUGGCCUGGCUCCUCCCGAGGGAAAACUUCAGAAUUAUGCUAAAAUGGGCAAGGGUAGUGGGAUGGCAGAUGAGUGAAAUGGGCAUAAAUACUUUCAACCAAUCCCCAUAUUCUCAGCUCCACUUUGUACCCCAUCUUCACAAGUAUCUGGUACCUACAAUUUCGUUGCCUUUUCAGGGUUCUGCAGUGUGAACUGGCUUGCUUUUUAUUUUGUUUCUACUCCCUCCCCUAUUCAGGCUUAGAUUUUAGUUUACUCCACUCUGCUAAACUGGUUACCACUUAUCAUUUAGCUGCUUCCCAAAACUUGUUGAGGUCUCUUAAUUGCUGAUGUCUCCUUUCCUGUUCUUUGUCCUCAUGAUUUGAUGCCUUUGAAACACAGUAUCACACAGAGAACGCUGCAAAGUAAAUCUAAAUCUGUGGAGAUGGGUGGGACCCAGUCAUCAUUUUUAAAAAUUACUAUAACAUCUAUAUAUUAAAGCACAUAAGGCAUGAGUUUACAGCUUGAACAACUUUUUGCAAAUUGAAUACACCUCUGUAAUCAGCAUGUAGAAUAUGAAACGGAACACUACUAGCACUCCCAAAGCUGCUUUUGGGCUCUCUUCUAUUCACUAGCACAUCAAGGGUAACCAUUAUAGAGUUGUGCUCCUGUUUGAACUUGAUUUUGUUUAUCCUUAUUACAGUGGAGAAACUCCAAGAUGAACCCCAAAGAUCUCCAUCUCCAGCUGUUCACACUCCUAUGUAAUCUCUAGCCCUUGGGUGUGGAAAGGACUUGUGACUUACUUUAACCAACAACAGAAUAUAGCAAAGAUGCCUAAGAACUGCAAAUGAGAAAUAAUUUUCUCACCUGGUCACAGCAUCUACCAAGAAUGGCGCUGGGGGAGAGAUCAGUGAGAUUCCAUCUUUAUUACCAUGUCCCUCCUUCCCUGUCAAAAGCAUUUCACAUCCCGCAAGUCCAUUAGACAUGGCACCACUCUGCUGUGGGAGAUACACACACAACUAAAUACAGGGUAACAAUACCUGCCUGGUCAGCACUUCAGCUCCAAAUCAAGCUUCACUAAUGACUAUGAGAUUAACGAAGAUGGUUUUGAUAAUUAUGACUGUUUGUUUUGUUUUUCUUAACUAUUCUUCAUCUGAGACUUUUACUUUUGUUUCUGCCAGCAUCCUGACAAACAUUUACAACCAGAAAGGGUAAGCCACUAGCUUGAAGCCAUUAAGUUAAGUUCAGUUAACAAGGCUUUGAUAACAACCCUCAUGUUUUUAAGGAAAAACAAAGAACCUAGUAAUCCUUUAGGCCUUACCCUGAAAGGGUAGCCAGAAGAAAAAUCACAAAUAACAUGAACUUACCGGAACAAUCCACCGGGGUGUGAUCAUGGAUGUGGAAGACACCUGAAAUAAUUUUAUAUGUAUGUAUUUACUUUUUGGAAAGACUGACUUAUUUUCAUACUUAUAAUACUUACUUACAUCUAUUAUGAAAUCCAUUCUAGGAGGGCAAUUCUUAAUUCUUAAUGGUGUUCCUUGAGCUGACAUGGACUUCUAAAUCCAAGACCCUUUUCUGUUAUACAACACAGAUGCUAUCCCUCACCACUUAAGAAAGUGUCAUAAUUUUGAGAAUCUCUUAUCUAAAAAUUUACCAUUCAAGAAUCUAUUACUACUUUCAGUUCACUUAAUAGGACUGCCCCUACCUCACACCCAGUAUUCAGUUUAACAUUUUAUUUUCUGAAAUUUCAGUUAAUUAAUUACAAAUAAUGAUAGCCUUCUUGGUAGCAGCCUGAACAAUGGAUUGUGACUAAUCCAAAUAAAGAGCAACAAGAAAGUACACAGAAAAAUAAUCUGUUUAGAUACAGAUCAUUCUCUAAUUAUCAUGUAUGCAUGAAGAAAGCGCAAUAAAAACACCCAUAUUGCUCCUGGUUCACAGGGCCUUUGAUACAUUAUUUUUAUAUGUUUAACUUUCUAUUAUAGGUCAUCUAUGUGUAGAAUUAUAAACUAAGGAAACCCACCCAUUUUACUAGUAAUUUAGACUAGUCCUUGCAUUGGUGGCCUUACAUACUCAUAAGAAAAAACUAAUGUAAGUCCAGGUAUUAGUAAAUUAGAUAACCACCAAAAGAAUAAAAACACAGGCUGGGCGCAGUGGCGCACGCCUGUAACCCCAGCAUUUUGAGAGGGCGAGGUGGGCAGAUCAUGAGGUCAAGAGAUCAAGACCAUCCUGGCCAACAUGGUGAAACCCUGCCUCUACUAAAAAUACAAAAAUUAGCUGGGCAUGGUGGCAUGCGCCUGUACUCCCAGCUACUCGGGAGGCCAAGGCAGGAGAAUCGCUUGGAGGCGGAGGUUGCAGUGAGCUGAGAUCACGCUACUCCUGGCAAAAAAGCAAGACUCCAUCUCAAAAAAAAAAAACCCACAAAAUCUGACUUUCCUACCAAUACUUUUUAGAUGCAUGUUAACAGCAGGAAAUAAGAGAGAAAAAAUAUCAUAAAUAAUAGUAAACAAAAAAUAGUUUGACAGACUUUUCCACACUUGCAGUUAAUUCUUAUCCUUGGUAAAGUCUUUGUUUAUUAAUCUAAGCUGGUCAUUCCCAACGGGUGGUUCCCAGACCACAUCUGCACCACCUGGGAACAUGUUAGAAACACAACUUUUCAGACCCCACCCAAGAUAUACCAAAAUUAGAAACUUGGAGGUGGGGCCCAGCAAUCUUGUGUGUUAACGUCCCCUCCAAGGGAUUCUGAUAUACACAAAAAUUUGAGAAUUAAUGAUCUAUGCAAACAUUCAGUAUCAUGUGUAUUUCCAAGCCUUCAGGAUGGCAUCUAGCCCCUACAGCAAUUCUCGUCAUAUCACUCAUAAGGUACAAAGUUAGUCAUUUCUGUUUUUUUUUUUUUUUUUUUUUUUUUUUGAGACGGAGUCUCACUGUGUCGCCCAGACUGGAGUGCAAUGGUGCUAUCUCGGCUCACUGCACGCUCCAUCUCCCAGGUUCCAGCAAUUGUCUUGCCUCAGCCUCCCGAGUAGCUGGCGCUACAGGUGUGCACCACCACCCCCGGCUAAUUUUUGUAUUUUCAGUAGAGACAGGGUUUCACCAUGUUGGCCAGGCUGGUCUUGAACUCCUGACCUCAAGUGAUCUGCCCACCUCGGCCUCCCAAAGUGCUGGGAUUACAGGCGUGAGCCACCGUGUCCAGCAAAGUUAGUCAUUUCUAUCUCUCUCAUCCCUGGAGGGAAGGAACUGUUUCAGUUGGCCCUCCAUAUCCAUGAGUUGUGCAUCUGUGGAUUCAACAACUGUAAAUCGAAAAUAUUUGGAGGGAAAAAAAGGAUGGUUGUGUCUGUACUGAACAUGUGCAGGCUUUUAUUCUUGUCAUUAUUUCCUAAACAAUACAAUAUAACAACUGUUUACCAGCAUUUACACUGCAUUAGAUAUUAGAGGUAAGCUAGAUUAUUUAAAAUAUACUAGAGGAUAUGUGUAGGUUAUAUGCAAACACUACACCAUUUUAUAUGAGAUUUAAGCAUGCAUGGAUUUUGGUAUCCAAGGGGAGUCCUGGAACCAAUCCCCCACAGAUACUGAGGGACAACUAUACUUAAUACAGUAUCUUCCAGACUGUAAUAAUGAUUGAUAUGUUCAAUGCCAUUCUUACGCUCUCAUCUUUCUAUAAAACUUUUUAAAAAAUUAAAUAUAUCCUUAUUGUCUCAAGAAA